rnacentral:tRNA from 1 species
AGGAAUUUAGGUUAAGCAGACCAAAAGCCUUCAAAGCUUUAAGCAGAUCACGACAGAUCUAAUUCCUG